CCAGCAGCCGCGGUAAUUCCUACGGGAGGCAGCAGUGGGGAAUUUUGGACAAUGGGCGAAAGCCUGAUCCAGCCAUGCCGCGUGAGUGAAGAAGGCCUUCGGGUUGUAAAGCUCUUUCAGUCGGAAAGAAACGAUUGUGAUUAAUACUCACAAUUAAUGACGGUACCGACAGAAGAAGCACCGGCUAACUACGUGCCAGCAGCCGCGGUAAU
rnacentral:rRNA from 1 species